GACGAACGCUGGCGGCGUGCUUAACACAUGCAAGUCGAACGGAAAGGCCCUGCUUUUGUGGGGUGCUCGAGUGGCGAACGGGUGAGUAACACGUGAGUAACCUGCCCUUGACUUUGGGAUAACUUCCGGAAACUGGGGCUAAUACCGGAUAGGAGCUCCUGCUGCAUGGUGGGGGUUGGAAAGUUUCGGCGGUUGGGGAUGGACUCGCGGCUUAUCAGCUUGUUGGUGGGGUAGUGGCUUACCAAGGCUUUGACGGAUAGCCGGCCUGAGAGGGUGACCGGCCACAUUGGGACUGAGAUACGGCCCAGACUCCUACGGGAGGCAGCAGUGGGGAAUAUUGCACAAUGGGCGGAAGCCUGAUGCAGCAACGCCGCGUGCGGGAUGACGGCCUUCGGGUUGUAAACCGCUUUCGCCUGUGACGAAGCGUGAGUGACGGUAAUGGGUAAAGAAGCACCGGCUAACUACGUG
rnacentral:rRNA from 1 species